GAAGGUGUGCUGUGAGGCAUGCUGGAGGUAUCAGAAGUGCGAAUGCUGACAUAAGUAACGAUAAAGCGGGUGAAAAGCCCGCUCGCCGGAAGACCAAGGGUUCCUGUCCAACGUUAAUCGGGGCAGGGUGAGUCGACCCCUAAGGCGAGGCCGAAAGGCGUAGUCGAUGGGAAACAGGUUAAUAUUCCUGUACUUGGUGUUACUGCGAAGGGGGGACGGAGAAGGCUAUGUUGGCCGGGCGACGGUUGUCCCGGUUUAAGCGUGUAGGCUGGUUUUCCAGGCAAAUCCGGAAAAUCAAGGCUGAGGCGUGAUGACGAGGCACUACGGUGCUGAAGCAACAAAUGCCCUGCUUCCAGGAAAAGCCUCUAAGCAUCAGGUAACAUCAAAUCGUACCCCAAACCGACACAGGUGGUCAGGUAGAGAAUACCAAGGCGCUUGAGAGAACUCGGGUGAAGGAACUAGGCAAAAUGGUGCCGUAACUUCGGGAGAAGGCACGCUGAUAUGUAGGUGAAGUCCCUCGCGGAUGGAGCUGAAAUCAGUCGAAGAUACCAGCUGGCUGCAACUGUUUAUUAAAAACACAGCACUGUGCAAACACGAAAGUGGACGUAUACGGUGUGACGCCUGCCCGGUGCCGGAAGGUUAAUUGAUGGGGUCAGCGCAAGCGAAGCUCUUGAUCGAAGCCCCGGUAAACGGCGGCCGUAACUAUAACGGUCCUAAGGUAGCGAAAUUCCUUGUCGGGUAAGUUCCGACCUGCACGAAUGGCGUAAUGAUGGCCAGGCUGUCUCCACCCGAGACUCAGUGAAAUUGAACUCGCUGUGAAGAUGCAGUGUACCCGCGGCAAGACGGAAAGACCCCGUGAACCUUUACUAUAGCUUGACACUGAACAUUGAGCCUUGAUGUGUAGGAUAGGUGGGAGGCUUUGAAGUGUGGACGCCAGUCUGCAUGGAGCCGGCCUUGAAAUACCACCCUUUAAUGUUUGAUGUUCUAACGUUGACCCGUAAUCCGGGUUGCGGACAGUGUCUGGUGGGUAGUUUGACUGGGGCGGUCUCCUCCUAAAGAGUAACGGAGGAGCACGAAGGUUGGCUAAUCCUGGUCGGACAUCAGGAGGUUAGUGCAAUGGCAUAAGCCAGCUUGACUGCGAGCGUGACGGCGCGAGCAGGUGCGAAAGCAGGUCAUAGUGAUCCGGUGGUUCUGAAUGGAAGGGCCAUCGCUCAACGGAUAAAAGGUACUCCGGGGAUAACAGGCUGAUACCGCCCAAGAGUUCAUAUCGACGGCGGUGUUUGGCACCUCGAUGUCGGCUCAUCACAUCCUGGGGCUGAAGUAGGUCCCAAGGGUAUGGCUGUUCGCCAUUUAAAGUGGUACGCGAGCUGGGUUUAGAACGUCGUGAGACAGUUCGGUCCCUAUCUGCCGUGGGCGCUGGAGAACUGAGGGGGGCUGCUCCUAGUACGAGAGGACCGGAGUGGACGCAUCACUGGUGUUCGGGUUGUCAUGCCAAUGGCACUGCCCGGUAGCUAAAUGCGGAAGAGAUAAGUGCUGAAAGCAUCUAAGCACGAAACUUGCCCCGAGAUGAGUUCUCCCUGACUCCUUGAGAGUCCUGAAGGAACGUUGAAGACGACGACGUUGAUAGGCCGGGUGUGUAAGCGCAGCGAUGCGUUGAGCUAACCGGUACUAAUGAACCGUGAGGCUUAACCUUACAACGCCGAAGCUGUU
rnacentral:rRNA from 1 species